rnacentral:rRNA from 1 species
GAUGAACGCUGGCGGCGUGCUUAACACAUGCAAGUCGAACGGAAAGGCCCAAGCUUGCUUGGGUACUCGAGUGGCGAACGGGUGAGUAACACGUGGGUGAUCUGCCCUGCACUUUGGGAUAAGCCUGGGAAACUGGGUCUAAUACCGGAUAGGACGAUGGUUUGGAUGCCAUUGUGGAAAGUUUUUUCGGUGUGGGAUGAGCUCGCGGCCUAUCAGCUUGUUGGUGGGGUAAUGGCCUACCAAGGCGUCGACGGGUAGCCGGCCUGAGAGGGUGUACGGCCACAUUGGGACUGAGAUACGGCCCAGACUCCUACGGGAGGCAGCAGUGGGGAAUAUUGCACAAUGGGCGCAAGCCUGAUGCAGCGACGCCGCGUGGGGGAUGACGGCCUUCGGGUUGUAAACUCCUUUCGCUAGGGACGAAGCGUUUUUGUGACGGUACCUGGAGAAGAAGCACCGGCUAACUACGUG